rnacentral:rRNA from 1 species
UUUAAUGUAUUCAAGAAAUAAUAAAUUACUGUAAAGAAAUAAAAUUUAAUUAAAGUUAUUCUACCUUUUGCAUAAUGGUUUAAUAAUAAUUUUAAAAAAUUUUUAAACCCGAAGUUAGAAGAUCUAAUUUUAUUUAUUUAUUAGAAUAGAUUAUAUAAUGUUUCAAAAUUAUACUUAAAAAUAUAAUUAGGGGUGAAAGGCCUACCAAUUCUAACAAUAUCUGGAAUAAUUUUAAAUGUAUUUAGUACAGUUGAAGUUUUGAAUAAAAAAAUGUUAAGGUUUUUUUAAUUAUAGAAUAAUAAAUUGAACUAUAAUAUGAGUUAAUCUUCUAAUAUAAACUAAUUCUUAUAAUUUUAUAAUUUAUAUAUCUUUUUAAGAAAAUUAUAUUAUAUUAAUAAUUUAUAAUUAAAAUUAAUAAUGUUAAAAUUAGUAUACAUUUAUAAUUUUAUUUAAGGAACUCGGCUAAUUAUUAUUCAACUGUUUAUCAAAAACAUAGUCAUAUGAAUUUAAUAUAAGGUGAAACCUGCCCAAUGAUAUAUUUUAAUGGCCGCAGUACCUUGACUGUGCUAAGGUAGCAUAAUAAAUUGACUCUUAAUUGGGGCCUUGAAUGAAUGGAUUAAUGAAUAAUUUCUGUCUUAAUUAAAACUAGUAAAAAUUACUUAAAAGGUGAAAAUUCCUUUAACAUAUAUAAUAGACGAGAAGACCCUAGGAGUUUAAAAUUUUGUUGGGGCGACAAUAUAGCAAUAUAACCUAUAUAAAUUAAUUUAUUUAUAAAACGAAUUUAUUUUUAAUGAUAAUUAAACUACCCUAGGGAUAACAGCAUAAUUUACUUAUUAAGUUUGUGACCUCGAUGUUGGACUAGGAACUUUUAACAUUAACAAUGUUAAUUGGUAGUUCUGUUCGA